AUUUCAGAGCUAGCAUUUUGGAGCUAGCCCGAAACAAAUAUAGCUGAAUAUUAUUACAUGUCGUCAUAUCCUGAUAUUGUCACCAUGGCAACUCGACUUUUUAAUGCGAAGUUCUCAGACAAGAAUGCAGCCAUACUGGAAAUAUGAUAGCCGAAAGCAAGUUGGGAAAAAUGAGAAAAGAGUGCAUGGAAAUAAGAAGGAUAUUCAUUUAUUGAGGAUUCCUUCCUUGAGAAGAAGAAUAAAACAGAACCAAGUACUGACCAGGAGAAGAACACAGAACAAGGUUUAUGGGGGGUGGAGAGGUCACAGAGAGGUUUCUCACCAACAUCUCGCUGUCUGUGGAGCGUUUAAAGCGGACGAGUCAGACGUGUAAACUCCUCUGAGCCACUGAGGUUUAAAUAUUCUGAUAUGUGCAAGAAAAUAUAGUCCACUUUACUCUGAUACCCUGAAAUAAAAUGUUCUUU